GAUGAACGCUGGCGGCGUGCCUAAUACAUGCAAGUCGAGCGAACGGACGAGAAGCUUGCUUCUCUGAUGUUAGCGGCGGACGGGUGAGUAACACGUGGAUAACCUACCUAUAAGACUGGGAUAACUUCGGGAAACCGGAGCUAAUACCGGAUAAUAUUUUGAACCGCAUGGUUCAAAAGUGAAAGACGGUCUUGCUGUCACUUAUAGAUGGAUCCGCGCUGCAUUAGCUAGUUGGUAAGGUAACGGCUUACCAAGGCAACGAUGCAUGGCCGACCUGAGAGGGUGAUCGGCCACACUGGAACUGAGACACGGUCCAGACUCCUACGGGAGGCAGCAGUAGGGAAUCUUCCGCAAUGGGCGAAAGCCUGACGGAGCAACGCCGCGUGAGUGAUGAAGGUCUUCGGAUCGUAAAACUCUGUUAUUAGGGAAGAACAUAUGUGUAAGUAACUGUGCACAUCUUGACGGUACCUAAUCAGAAAGCCACGGCUAACUACGUG
rnacentral:rRNA from 1 species